rnacentral:misc_RNA from 1 species
GACAUCAUUCCAACAAGUUUCUUUUUGUUCCUUCCGCCCUUAUAUUUAGCUAAUGUUUUUUUAAAUAAAAUAUAUUUUUCUUAUCUUUUUCAAUUAUUUGAAUUUUUUUUCCUUUCUUUAUUUGAGUAAGUGAAGAAUAAAAGGUUGGCUUUACUGCACGUCGCUUGGGAACAAAAAAAUACCUGCAGAAAUAGGAUUUAUAUUAUAUCCCCUAUCCUAAACUUUGAAACGUGAAAACCUGGUGCUUA